rnacentral:rRNA from 1 species
GGGUCAGUAGGUUGGUCGUGCCACCGGUACGUACUGGUCUCACUGAUUCCUCCUUCCUGAAGAACCGUAAUGCCAUUAAUUUGGUGUUGCGGGGAAACAGGACUGUUACUUUGAAAAAAUUAGAGUGUUUAAAGCAAGCUAACGCUUGAAUACAUUAGCAUGGAAUAAUGAAAUAGGACGAUCGAUCCUAUUUUGUUGGUUUCUAGGAUUGACGUAAUGUUAAUAGGGAUAGUUGGG